CUGUGGUGGAUUCAUGUUGAUAUAUGGCAAAACCAAUACAAUAUUGUAAAGCUAAAAAAUAAAAUAAAAUAAAAAAAUAUUAAACUGAACAGAAAAAAAUAGUAAAAAGAAAAUAUAAAUAUUGUAAAAGAAGAGACAGUUAUUUUUACUUGCAGAUAAUAUAACUAUUUAGAAAAUCCAUGCAAACCAACUGAAAAAUGAGUUGAACUAAGAAGAGAAUUCAGCAAAUUGUUCAGAUACUAUACCCCAUUCGUAAGCAACUAUGAAAAUGUCAUGAGAAAAAACGAUGACAUUUAUUAAACUCUAAGCCACCCAGGAAUGACUAAAUGAAAAAAUGUUUAAGAUGUACCUGGGGGAAACAGAGCUGAAACAAUUUCCUAAAGAUUUAAGAAAGCUUUACUGAAGAACUGCUCAGACAUCUGUGUAGAGGGAGCUGUGAUAGGGCCCAUGUGGGUGAGAUGAGUCCACAUUAUCAUAUUUGACCAACAAAUUCCUAUCAAGAUUGUGGGUUUACUUUUUUCUUGGAUAGAUUUUCCAAAAUUGAAAGUAACAAUUCCCUCUACCUGUCAAAAUUAGAUGUUAUUUUAACCCCUUACCCUGACGAAUCCAAGCUGUUGUAUUUUCUAUAAUUUGAUUUACAGGUUUUGCAGAACUGAAAGCUAACCCUCAAAAUGACCUCAAGCCAUUUAUUCACUGGACAGUUGAAGUAUGUCAUACAAUAGUUGUAUCUUUUGGAAGGCGACUGCAAGGGUGAAGAUGGCUCUUGGCUGAUCUUUAGGCAGCAGGGGAAGACUGGUAUUGGCUGCAACAUGAUUUGGAAAGACCAGUGAUCAUAGAGCUGUGGAGUUAACUGCAUCCAAGAAUGCAGCUGGUUUCGAGGAACAUCCAUUCUCUGGUCACACAGAGAUAUUUUUCAACAUGUCUUGAGCACUGAGAUCAUGUGCUGCUUUGCUCCUUCCAGAGGGGAGUUUUCAGGGAAGGAACAGCGCCUCUGGAAGGGGGAACUGAU
ensembl:lncRNA